UACGUAGGUGGCAAGCGUUGUCCGGAUUUACUGGGCGUAAAGAGCGCGCAGGCGGUCGUUCAAGUCGCGUGUGAAAGCCCCCGGCUCAACUGGGGAGGGUCACGCGAUACUGAUCGACUCGAAGGCAGGAGAGGGAAGCGGAAUUCCCGGUGUAGUGGUGAAAUGCGUAGAUAUCGGGAGGAACACCAGUGGCGAAGGCGGCUUUCUGGCCUGUUCUUGACGCUGAGGCGCGAAAGCCAGGGGAGCAAACGGG
rnacentral:rRNA from 1 species